AACAUCCAGGCCCGCAGGGAGCUCCCAUGGGAGGGAGGGGGGUUGACCGUGGGGGACCCAAACGGGGUUUGUCUCCAGACUCCACUGGACACCUCAAGCGAUGGACCCUCAGCUUCCCCUUCUGUAACAGGGGGAGAAGAGUGAAGUCUGGGGAAGAAAGCCACGUGGUGGGCUCAGAGGCAGAGGGAGGGUUGGCCCAGGCUAGGGGUGGGGUGGCCCAGCUGGAAAGGUCUUGGGAGGUGCAGGCAGAGACUAGCCUGAGGUGGAGGCUGGGGGUGAUGAGGGAAUAACCCAGACGUUCAGGCCUUGCAGGGCCUCAAAUACCAGGCAUGACACAGGACCUGAUCCCACGGGAGGAAAUGCCCAAACCUGGCCCAGAUCACAGCCAAGUCCCCAGCUCCCCAGCUCUGCCUCCUUCCGGUCUGGGAGAAGCCCCAGCCUCCCAGCCUGGUGUCCAUGGCAGCAGCUUUGGGCGGGGGCGAGGGGGUUCCCUAAAGUCCCCACGACUGGAUGGUCCUGCCAAUUCUCUUUGAACCCUUUGCAAAACCCAUUUCUGUGAUGUCUCUGGAAGAGGAAGCCCUGGCGAAGAAAUAAUCCCAAAUUGCUACAAGUUUUCCAGUGGUUACUAGGCCCCAGCCUGAUUGGAUGAAUUCCCAGAGGUUAUCAUCACUCGGGAUAACAUCCAGGUUGAGGGGUGACGGAGAAAUAAGGAAGACCCGCGGUUCCAGAUGGGGAAAGUGAGGCCCCGAGAAACGCAGAGGCUCCACCAAGGCAUUUUCUAGGUCCUGACUAAGCUGCUCCCGGGAGGCUGGCUGGUGCCUUCCUUUUUUGAAAACACAUGCACUGAUUUCUGCCUUUAGGGCAGUUCCGGGUGCUGAGUGACUGCUCUGUGACCUGGAAGCAGACGGCUGUCCCUAUGGCCUCGCCGCCGCCCCUCCACGCCUGGGUCUCCCCACGUGUGCAGGCCUGUGGUACCUGGGAGGUGCGUGUGUACUCCUCGUAGAGCUGGUCGUACUCGCGGCUCUUGUCCUGGUACUGCUGGUGAUAGACUUUGAGCUGGGCGCCCACCGCCUCCACGCUGUCCUCCUUGACGAUCUGGUCCUAGGGACACCCGGGGUGAUCAGAGAAGCGGCCUGGGACACUUGUGCCGGAGGCUGGCACUGUCCUCCCACCCUGGCCGCAGACCUGCUGGUACUUGGACACUGGGUAGAGGAGCCGUGUGUCCAGUUUGGCAUUGUACUGGGCCAGCGACUCGUGGCGGUAGUGGGUGAUGAGGUCCACAACGGAGCAGAAGGUGAGCGGCUCUGAGAAGCCAUAGUGCCCGUCACGAUGGAAGACCUUAAUCAGCUUGUUGUUCCCGCCUUUCCUAGGGGCGGGCGAGAGGGGUGUCAGCAGCCCGUGGGAUCCCCAGCCGUCCGGACACCGCACGUGCCCCACUCUCCAGGCAACCCCCUGUCCUUCCGCCCUGGGUGUCCUCCCUCCCACCUCUCACACCCAGUCACCCCGGAAGGGGCAGGCCCCCACCUGAGGGUCAGUGUGUAUUCCCCCUGGAUCUUGCUGGAUGCAUCUCGGACCAGAAAGGUGCCGUCGGG